rnacentral:rRNA from 1 species
AUACGUAGGGAGCAAACGUUGUCCGGAUUUAUUGGGCGUAAAGGGCUCGUAGGCGGUUCAACAAGUCGAUCGUGAAAGCCCGGGGCUCAACCCCGGGAGGCCGGUCGAAACUGUUGUGACUAGAGUUCGGUAGAGGUGAGUGGAAUUCUCGGUGUAGCGGUGGAAUGCGCAGAUAUCGAGAGGAACACCAUUAGCGAAGGCGGCUCACUGGGCCGAUACUGACGCUGAGGAGCGAAAGCGUGGGGAGCAAACAGGAUUAGAAACCCCAGUAGUCC